ACUUGUUAUUUGCUACUUAUUUAUCAGUUAGGCAUAGUUCAUAGUUUGAAUUGGCAUUACUUACAACAGUAUUAUUAUUGCAAGAUUUCUGUUACUAAGUUACUGACACUAACUUGUUAUUUGCUACUUAUUUAUCAGUUAGGCAUAGUGUUCAUAGUUUGAAUUGGCAUUUGAAGGCAUUACAACAAUUCCUUGAAGGUGGCUCAACAAAAUGCAAGGCAUCAAAAGUAACAUCUGAUCAGUACGGUUCAAGAAGAAACGAGUGUUGAAUUCUGAUCUUUGUUUUAAAUCAAGAUUACCUUAUUUGACUCAUGCAUCUUCGGCUAAAGCGACAGACCCUGAGUUAGAGGCAGUUAAUCAAAGACUGGCUCGGACAAGCCAAAUCAAGAGGUCUGAGCCAAAUACAAGGAACAAAUGGGACAAUAUUCCUGGUUCUGGAGCCAAGCAACACCCAACACUUGGAAACAAAGACCAAGAAUGGUUAUUUUUAAUUUAACAUUUUAUUCUUUUACUUUACAAAAUUAACACC